CGGUUCCAGUUUCAGUCGGGUUGGCCCCUUCGCCACCGCCCCCUACCCCGGCCCCCGCCCCGGGACAAGGCCUCUGGGUCCCGGCGGCAGGGAGGUGGCUGGGCCGGGGAAUGGGCCACAGGGAGGGGCAGGGGCGCCUAGCAGAAGAGCUUGAGGAAGCAGUUCUGACAGUAAGGCUUGUCGUUCUGCUCCUUGAAGGUGCCCUUGUUGAGCUGCUUGAGGCAGAAGGCGCAGACGAAGUGCUCGGGGUGGAACUUCUUGGCCAUGGCGGUGAUGCAGCGGCCCGUGAUGGGCUUCUGGCAGCCGGAGCACAGCGAGCCCCGCCGCUCGUGGUAGUGCGCCUCGCAGUAGGGCUGGCCCUCGUGCUCGAAGAAGCUGCCGUGGACGAACGGCGUGAAGCACUCCUGGAGACAGAGGAGGGCGGGGGGCAGUUCAGGCUGGGGGCCGAGGCAGCUCCCCGGCGACAGGCAGGGGGCCGCCAGGGCGGCCACCCUGGAAACGACUCCCCCUUGGCAAGCGUGCUCGACGUGCCGAGCGUGGCACCAACCCUUAGUCUCCCAGUAACGACCGCGACUCGCUGCUGCCAAGUUGCACUGCUGUUUUUGCUGUUCAGUUGUUCAGUCGUGUCUAACUCUUUUAUGACCCUAUAGACUGUAGCCCGCUAGGCUCCUCUCUCCAUGGGAUUCUCCAGGCAAGAAUACUGGAGUGGGGUGCCAUUUCCUUCUCCAGGGGAUCUUCCUGACCCGGGGUUCGAACCGGCAUCUCCUGCAUUGGCAGGCGAAUUGUUUACCACUGAGCCACCAGGGAAGCCUGCUAACUUGCACUGCCUGGACUCACACAUAGGUCUGACUCCUGGGCACUGCAGCACAUGUGCCUAGAAACUCUGGUGUCAAAAAAAAAAAAAAAAAAAGGGUUCCGAGGUCAAACUCUGCAUCCUAGAUUCCUGUUUACAGAGAUCCGCAGGCAUACUCGGGUAUUAAAGACUCUGAGAAGUCCUGCAAUGAACAGUGUUUCCCAAACUUACUUAAUCAGGGGACCCCCGCCAGAACCCUCGUAACACCUGGGGCCAUCAUCCCCCAGAAUGCAGAAUGGAAACCAUCCUCCAUUGUCCGCCGAGGCUGCUGAAGGCUUGUUACCUCAUUUCACUCUCACAUCCCCUUCUCCUGGACCUGGUCUGACCCAGGGGCAGCUGCACAGGUCUGCCUUGCUCUCGUUUCUCGAAGCCCCUGCACAAGCCCUGGUCCAGGACCGACUGCACUUGAGGGGGUGCGCCGCCUGCCUUCCCACCUGAUCAAGAACCUCAAGCGGGCCCUCUAAGUCGGAUUCAGCAAGCACAGGGCGGCAGCAGCAACGGCCGCUCUCAGCCUCUCCAGAGGAAGCAACGGGGCUCCUUACCCGACACACAAAGCACUCGGGGUGCCAGAGGGUGUUGAGGGCCGAGAUGUAGUUCUCCAGGAUGGCCCGGGCGCAGCCGCCACACUUGGGCGCGAACAUGUCAAAGUAAUCCUUGCGGCAGUAGGCCUUGCCGUCUUUCUCGUGGAACCCUGAGGGGCGGGGGGUUGGGGGGGCAGGUUAGGCUUCGGGGAGGGGCCGCCCUGACUCAGCAAGGGCUGCCCCCGCACCGCAGCCCGCCUCCCCGAGGCUCAGUACCUUCAGGCCCGAAGAAGGCUCCACACUGGGCACAGAAGAAGUGCUCAGGGUGCCACGUCCGGUCGAGGGCUGUCACCACUUUCUGCGAAAGCCAAGUGUGCAGCCCCAGCUGAGUGGCUGGCCCGCGCGACAGGCUCCCCCCCCCGCCCCCCUCCACCCCCACCCCCGGUCAAGGAAGGAGCUGACGCUCCCCAGACAGGGGUCUCUCCCAGCUGUGCUGUGAACACCACUGAGAAUUCUGAUUUACUGGAAAGGACGUGACGUGCCAGUCACGCUCUGUCUCCCAUAAUCCUCACGGGCAGUUGAGAUCAUAUGUUCUACUGGGCCACCCAUCUUGUAAGUGUAGACACGGAGGCCCAGAGAGGCUAGGCAUCUCCCUAAUGCCACACAGCUGCACUCUGCUCCACCUAUCCUCGGCAGAAGGGAGUGGGGGAUGGCUGCAUGAUGGGUGUUAGGACGGGCCGCGCACGCUUCAGGCUAGAGGGUGAAUCCCAGUUUCCUGGCUGUGUGUGCUUGGGCCUGCGUGUGACCUUUCUGGGCCUCGCCUGGCCCUGGGCACUCACAUCCAGAAUGGGCCCAUUGCAGUAGUAGCAGCGCGGAGAGAAGAGGUUGUGAUAGUCCUUUUCACAGUAGGGCUGUCCAUCCCGCUCGAAGAAGUUCCGGGAGCCGAUCUCCUCCUGGCAGUGGGUGCAGACGAAGUGCUCGGGGUGCCACGUCUUCCCCAUGGCCGUCACCACCUGACGGAGGAGGGGGGUGCCGAUCAGGGGCCAGCCCGGCCCCNNNNNNNNNNNNNNNNNNNNNNNNNNNNNNNNNNNNNNNNNNNNNNNNNNNNNNNNNNNNNNNNNNNNNNNNNNNNNNNNNNNNNNNNNNNNNNNNNNNNGCUCCGCCUCACCCCUCCUCAUCACCUGCCCCGCGAUCGGCUUUUUGCAGGCCCCACAGACCCCCUUGGCGACCGUGGCAACCCCCAGUUUGUUCAGGUCAGACUGCAGGCUCCCCAGCAUGCUGUCCAGCUGGCUUCCGGGCUUUGGGGGGCCGCCUGGGGGAGAGCUGCUCCCCGUCUUCCCCUGGGCCAUGAACUGCAGAGACAGGGAAAGAGGGCAGGUCAGGACACCUGGGCCUUGGGGCCUGGGGGGCAGGAGGACUUGCUGCCACACUAGGGCGUCUCUCCCUCCUGGACAGACAGAUUGAGGUGGAAGUGUAGCCCCUCCAGGGGCCUUGGAAGCCCUCAGGUGGGAACAGUCUCUACAAUGCACCUGGGGGUCCCAGGGGCUCACGGUGCCUGACCAGGCCCCAGAACACACCACAAGCAGGACCUGCAGCCCCAGCCUCGGCACUGACCCCUCCCACCCGGCGGGCCCGCCCUCCCUGCCGUUCAGAGGCCAGCCAGCCGCCCAGCGCAGCUCGCCAUCCGCUCUCUGUUCCAGGCCCUGGAUCUUAGGGGAGGAAACGAGAAGAAGAAUUGCUUUUAUUUUUUUUUAAGGAAAAAAGAAUAAGAGAACUUUUCACUAGACCAUGUCACAACAGGGACUUCAGAAUGAGAUAAGAGAAUGGAUUCUUCCCCCCUACUGGCAGUAACGAAAAUCAGGAGAAAAAGUCUACGGGAAAACCACCAUGAGAGAGACGGGCCCCAGGAGAGAUGAAGAGGAAGAGAGAGGUAAGCCCGCCAAAGGCGCGGACUGAGGGGGCAGAGGUGAUGGGUCAGAGAGCCAGGGGGCCUUGCCAGGUACCAGGCCUGCUUGGUUUUCCUUCUGAGGACAGCGUCCUCAGAGGGAGCCUGGGGAGGGACCAAGGGGUGGCUGACACCUCAGGGGAGGGAGAGAGCAUUGACAUCGGGUAAAGCGAGGGUCCAGGGUUAAGGCCAAGUCCAAGGAAGGGCUGUGGUACUUCGCAGGUACCUUGUGGAUGAAGGCACAAAGCCAAGUGCAAGGAUGGACAUAAUAUCUUAUGGAUGGACAGACAGAGGGCUGUGUGUAUGUGUGUUUGUGUGUGUGUGUGUGCAGAGUGGGGAUGCUGCUGGAGCAUAAGGACAGGCCAGGUGGGGCCGGGCCCCCAGGAAGCCUGCCUGCAUCGGGGGGAAGAGCGGAUCCUCGUCGGUCUGGCAGCCUAUGGACCUCACGGAGCAGGCUGCAGCCGCACAAGGGGCGGGGCCCUGCACACUGACUCUCCGCGGCCCCGUCUCAGUGCUCUGGACCCCGGAGGGGCCGCAGGGCGGGGGUGAGCUGCUGGCCGAGGAGGUGUCUUUGCGGUGCUGGAGCAGAGGGCUGGGAGGAGGAAGAGGAGAAGGCAGAACAGAGAAGGUUCUCCGCAGGGGAAGAGGAGAGCCAGGAGGGAAGACGACCUGGGAGGGAGAGAAGAGGGACAGAGGUGAGCACGGUGAUGGUGGAGGAGACGGCAGC
ensembl:lincRNA